GACUGGAUUAACUACUCUGGACCACGCUGGGGAUAAACGAAGACUUUCCGAGAAGAUUUUUUUCUUUGCAUGCAAUGUUAAGAAGUAAGGCUUUUUAUAAUGGGAUUGUUAGAGACAUCAAAGGCCCAUUGAAGGAAAACUCUUUUCUUCUGGUUAUGGGAGUGAAAUCUAUGGCCUGAGUGAGACCUAAUGUUGCAGCUGGAGUGGAAGGAUGAUGGAUAUCCACAAGGAAGAUGCUACCUCAGACUCAGUAGAGCUUCAUCAUUAAUGAGUAAUUUAUGGAUGGCGAAUGCUUUUCUUUUCAGAAAAGCACUUAAGCACACCUGGUUUCUAAUCCACCAACUGCAACAAUGGGAGUCUCACUCUUAGACUCUUAGGAUUUUCCGAAGAUGCGAAAUCUAUGUCUUGCAAAAAGAACUAAUUUAAAAGCUGAACUUAAACAUCAUCAAGAUGACCCAUUUCAUGGCUUAAUAUCUGAAGUUAUUUCUGGUCUGGCUCCAGGGCUCUCCCAAGCUUUCAGCCUGAGUUCGAACUCCAGGAGCCACAUGGUAGAAGACAGCUGCCCUCUGAUCUCCAAAUGUAUCACAGGCCCACAAAACCAUAAACACACAAACCAACAAACCAACAAAAGUUUUUGUUUUGCUUCUGGUCCUCUUCUAAUGUGGGUGGUUUCCAGGGCCCACAAGUGGCAUCUCUGGGAAGGAGGUUCUACCCAUGCAGAGUCUCUCCCUGGACUUGAAGCGGACUGGUUGGCCAAGAUGCAUUGGUAAGUAAGCUCCAGAGAUCUGCUUAUUUCUACACGGCCUCACUCCCAGCAUAAGGGUUACAAGCCCAAGUCAUUGCGCCUGACUUUUACAUUGUUCUGGGGUCUGAAUACAGGUCCUCACAGCAGCGCAGUGAGCACACCAUCCACUGAACAUCUCUGUAGCUCAUGUUCUCAUUUCAAAAUGAAGUAGAUAUUUGGAAUGUGCCUCACCAAGCUUUAUUUUAAUACUGACAAGUUGGGGAAGGUUUUGGAGAUUGUGUGGGUAAGAGUUUUUUUUUUUCUUUUUAAUGUUAUUUUUGUCCAGACUUUUUGCAGAUGAGGGCCAAACCUACAAAAGAACAUGUCACAUAGACUGCUAGAAGUAGCCCAACCCUCCAUGUCUGCCUCUUGAUAUCCUUUCCCUGGAGUGAUAGUCACUCAAGAAACAGAGAUAAGGGAAAAAUUCCAGAGUCAGAGAAAGGAAAGUGAAUAGAGAUAAGAAGGGGGCGGGGCUACCAGGAGGGCGGAUCUCCCCAUCUUCCCUCCCCUAUCCCCCAGGCAUCUUGGGGCUUCUCAUCAAGCUUUUAUCAUUGGCAGAGAAACUGGAGAGGGGGCGUGGUGGUUGGCUUUCUCAGAAGUUGAUCCCUGUAGUUCUUCACACAUACCUUCAACUUCUGUGGGAGAAGUGUUCACACAGCGUACAGAAUUGCUCUACUCUCCUGUCCUUUAUCUCUACUGCUGUUGUGCCUCAAGUUCUCUCAUCCAAGAUGGUGGGGAGGCUAAAUUGAGUGGGCUGAUGCAGCUUGCAAUCAGAUGAACCCUGCACUGUUUUCAGGAACUGUGGUGGAGAGCUGUCUUGUAAUUAUUCUGAACAUGACAUUUUCAGAUUUGAUUAACCUCAUGUGGUCAGUGGAUAAGCUUUAUGAUGAAGGUUAUUGGCUUUAAAAAAAAUCAACA